CGAGAGGGAAACAGCCCAGAUCACCAUUUAAGGCCCCUAAAUAAUUACUAAGUGGUAAAGGAGGUAAUCGUACAUAGACAACCAGGAGGUUUGCCUAGAAGCAGCCACCCUUUAAAAAUUGCGUAAUAGCUUACUGGUCAAGUGCUUUUGCGCCGAAAAUGAACGGGACUAAGUAAUUUGCCGAAAAUGUGAGAUAAUAUCGGUAGAAGAGCGUUCUGUUUUAGUUUGAAGCAAUAGUGAAAACAGUUGUGGACUAUUCAGAAGUGAGAAUGUCGGCUUAAGUAACGAAAACAUUGGUGGAAAUCCAAUGCCCCGAAAACCUAAGGAUUCCUUCGCAAGGUUCGUCCACGAAGGGUUAGUCAGGACCUAAAAUGAGGUUUAACAACGUAAUUGAUGGAUAACGGGUUAAUAUUCCCGUACUACAUUUUAUAUGAUUAAGAGUGACGAAGAAGGCUAUAUCAUCCAAGUUUUGGUUUUUGGUUUAAUCUUUCAAGGUUUUGAGAAAUGCUAAAAAAAGUAUUUUGAGCUGAGAAGAGAAUACGAGAUAUACUACGGUAUUGAAAGUGAUAAAUGCCAUGCUUCCUAGAAAAACUUUUUUAAUUUCUGUAAUUUGUACCUGUACCUUAAACUGACACAGGUAGGUUGGUAGAGAAUACCAAGGGGCGCGAGAUAACUCUUUCUAAGGAACUCGGCAAAAUGACUCUGUAACUUCGGGAGAAAGAGUGCCACAAUUUUGUGGUCGCAGUUAACAGACCCAAGCGACUGUUUACCAAAAACACAGGUCUCCGCUAAGUUGUAAAACUAUGUAUGGGGGCUGACGCCUGCCCAGUGCCGGAAGGUUAAAGAAAUUGGUUAGCUCACGCGAAGCUAGUGACUGAAGCCCUGGUGAACGGCGGCCGUAACUAUAACGGUCCUAAGGUAGCGAAAUUCCUUGUCGGGUAAGUUCCGACCCGCACGAAAGGCGUAACGAUUUGGGUACUGUCUCAGAAAGAGACUCGGUGAAAUAGAAUUGACUGUGAAGAUGCGGUCUACUUGCACUUGGACAGAAAGACCCUAUGAAGCUUUACUGUAACUUGAAAUUGGUUUCGGGCUUUUCUUGCGCAGUAUAGGUGGGAGGCUGUGAUCCUCUUUUUCGGAAGUUGGUGAGCCGUAAUGUGAGAUACCACUCUAGAAAAGUUAGAAAUCUAAUGGCAUUUUUUAAGCAAGAUGUUUGACACUUUCAGGCGGGCAGUUUUACUGGGGCGGUAGCCUCCUAAAAAGUAACGGAGGCGUACAAAGGUUUUCUCAGGCUGGACGGAAAUUAGUUGUAGAGUGUAAAGAUAUAAGAAAGCUUGACUGUGAGACCUACAAGUCGAACAGAGACUAAAGUCGGUCUUAGUGAUCCGACGAUUCUGUAUGGAAAGGUCGUCGCUCAACGGAUAAAAGUUACUCUAGGGAUAACAGGCUGAUCUCCCCCAAGAGUUCACAUCGACGGGGAGGUUUGGCACCUCGAUGUCGGCUCAUCGCAACCUGGGGCGGAAGUACGUUCCAAGGGUUGGGCUGUUCGCCCAUUAAAGCGGUACGUGAGCUGGGUUCAGAACGUCGAGAGACAGUUCGGUCCAUAUCCGGUGUGAGUGUUAGAGUAUUGAAAGGAGCUUUCCUUAGUACGAGAGGACCGGGAAGGACGCACCACUGAUGUACCAGUUUUUGUACCAACAGAAUACGCUGGGUAGUCACGUGUGGAGUGGAUAACUG
rnacentral:rRNA from 1 species